rnacentral:rRNA from 1 species
ACAGAAGAACCUAUUUGAACCCCAAUGGAGGCAAAACAACCCUCGAGCGAUUGAUUGCCAUUCAGAUACGACCCCAGGUCAGGCGGGGCCACCCGCUGAGUUUAAGCAUA